AUUGAACGCUGGCGGCAGGCCUAACACAUGCAAGUCGAGCGGAUGACGGGAGCUUGCUCCUUGAUUCAGCGGCGGACGGGUGAGUAAUGCCUAGGAAUCUGCCUGGUAGUGGGGGACAACGUUUCGAAAGGAAUGCUAAUACCGCAUACGUCCUACGGGAGAAAGCAGGGGACCUUCGGGCCUUGCGCUAUCAGAUGAGCCUAGGUCGGAUUAGUUAGUUGGUGGGGUAAUGGCUGACCAAGGCGACGAUCCGUAACUGGUCUGAGAGGAUGAUCAGUCACACUGGAACUGAGACACGGUCCAGACUCCUACGGGAGGCAGCAGUGGGGAAUAUUGGACAAUGGGCGAAAGCCUGAUCCAGCCAUGCCGCGUGUGUGAAGAAGGUCUUCGGAUUGCAAAGCACUUUAAGUUGGGAGGAAGGGCAGUAAGUUAAUACCUUGCUGUUUUGACGUUACCGACAGAAUAAGCACCGGCUAACUCUGUGCCAGCCGCCGCGGUAA
rnacentral:rRNA from 1 species